rnacentral:rRNA from 1 species
UACGUAGGGUGCGAGCGUUGCCCGGAUUUAUUGGGCGUAAAGGGCGCGUAGGCGGUGAAAUGCGUCCGUUGUGAAAUCGCCCGGCUCAACUGGGCGGGGUCAGCGGAUACGGUCUCACUUGAGCAAGCUAGGGGGCAAUGGAAUUCCCGGUGUAGUGGUGGAAUGCGUAGAUAUCGGGAGGAACACCAGUGGCGAAGGCGGUUGCCUGGGGCUUUGCUGACGCUGAUGCGCGAAAGCGUGGGGAGCGAGUCCGG